CAAGGUGCUAUCGGCAGAGGGUCAAGAAAGGUCCUGUUCCUCGAAGCCGGAGCUCGCGCACUGUCCGCUCAGGGACCCAACCUCCCCCAACUCCACCGUGUUUGUUUGGCCCAUAGUCAUUUAUUUUUACUUUCUAUUUUGAAAUAAUUAUAAAUUCACAGGAAGUUUCGAAGGUCGUACAGAAAGGCUCCUUGUCGCUUGGCCCACUUUCCCCCAGUGGUUCCAUCUUGCGUAACUGUAACACAAUGGCAAGCCCAGGAGACGGACGUUGGGACAGCGUGUGUGAAGACUUCUGUGCCGUUUGUCCCACGUGCAGGUUGGGGUCACCACCACCGCAGCCAAGACACAGGACCAUUCUGGAACCACAGAGCCCUCGCUUGUGAUGCCCUUCAUCACAGCAAAGCCGCCUCCCCCAACCCCGACCCCCGGCAACCACCAAUCAGUCCCCGUCUCUGGGAGUUUAUCAUGUUGAGAAUGUUGUAUGAAGAGAGGCAUACCGUGUGUGACCUCUGAGGUGGGCUUUUCUCACCCAGCACAGUGUUAGCCCUUGAGACCCACCCAAGUGUUUCGUUUGCCACCACCGGGUGCCCACCUUUGCUGAGUACGUCCCACCAUCCACCUGCUGAGGGACGUGCUGGUUGUUUCCGGGUUUUGGCUGUCACAAACAGAGCUGCUGUGAAGAACUGUGUGCAGGUUUUUGGGUGGACACCCGUUUUCAUGGCUCUGGGAUAAACGCCAGGAGUACGAUUGCUGGGUCACCCGGGAAGCGGAUGUUUUAGCCUCCAGUCAUUUUUUAAAAACUUUGUUAGUGGCUGACAUUUUUCAAUGAGAUUUCACAUUAUAUUCUAGUGAGGGAGACACAGUAAACCAAGAAGUCCCUAUAAUGUACAAAUAAACGUAAUUCCAGAUGCAGCACGCAUAGACUUCCAUCCUCCCGUGCUUUCCCGCCGUCCUUACCCGGCAUCCAGUCCGCCUCGCUGACCCACACGCCCUGUGGGUUGCCAUCCUCUCCUAGCUCCUGUCUCCUCCAGCGACACCAGGCCAACCCCAUUUCUGCCUCAGGGCCUUUGCACGAGGCCUCUCUCCCUGGGAAGCUCCAUGAGGACAAGGACGGUGUCUGUUGUGGUUACUGCAAUGUCCUCAGUGUCUGGAACAGAGCCUGCCACUGGGCGCGACUUGAUAUAGAGUUUUCAAACCUUCUAUUUGGAACUCGUUUCAGACUUACCAAGAAGUUCCAGCAGCUGCACCGAGCCCCUCUACCCCGACCCGACUUCCCCCAACGCUGGCCUCUCACGUAACCAUUUCAUCAGGAAAACCAAAAAAUGUAACGUUGCCCCAAUACUGUGAAUUGACUCAUUUGAAUUUCACUUCAUUAAAGAAAUUCAUUCCAUUAACGUCCUCGUUCUGUUCUAGGAUCCCAGCCAGCGGCCCACGUCGCAUUUAGUCACCUCUCCUAGUCUACUGCAGUGCGGAUGUUCCACAGAACAGCCUGUCUUGUCUCCUAUGACCUCGACAGCUUUGAAGAAUCAUGAUCGCCUACUUUGCAGAAUGUCCUUCCGUUUGGGUUGAAGGAUGUUUUCUCAUGACAGGAAUGAGAGUGUGCAUUUCUGGCAAGAAUGGCGGGGAAGUGAUGUUGUGUCCUCAGCGCACCACAUCAAGGGUCCGUGCUGUAUGUACUCCCCCCCAUCACUGUUGACAUUGACCUUGAUCACUUGACUCAGGUGGUGUCUGCUGGGCUCCCGCACUGUAACGUUG
rnacentral:lncRNA from 1 species